rnacentral:rRNA from 1 species
AUGUUAUUUAUGUUUUAUUCAGCUUUGAACCCAUCACUUAUUUCUGGGCUCCUAAACUCAAUUGAGCACCUCAAUGGGACUAACUUUCCUACAUGGAAGGAGCAGAUUUCCAUUAACAUUGGGGUCAUGGAUCUUGACUACGCACUUAGGGAGAAGGCUCCAGUUCCCUUGUCCUCUGAUGAUGAAAACCUUGCCGAGAGAACUAAGGUUUAUGAGGCUAACAAGGAGAAGUGGGAGCACUCCAAUCGAUUGUCCCUCAUGAUCAUGAAAAGCACAAUUACUCUUGGGAUUAGGGGAGCUAUCCCCGAUUCCGAAUGUGCUAAAACUUAUCUGGCAUCGGUGGAGGAACAAUUUAAAGGCUCCACAAAAGUCUAUGCCAGUACACUGAUCAUGAAAAUGCUCACCACUAAGUAUGAUGGUGCAAGCGGUGUGAGAGAACAUAUCAUGACUAUGAACGAUAUGGCCGCAAAAUUAAAGGGCAUGGACAUGGAGAUUUCUGAGGGCUUCUUGGUUCAUUUCAUUAUGACCUCCCUUCCUGUGGAGUUUGGUCCAUUCAAGAUCAACUAUAACACACAGAAGGAGAAGUGGACCAUGGGUGAGCUCACGGCUAUGUGCGUUCAAGAAGAGGAGCGACUUAAGAUUGAGAGAAAAGAUUACGCUCAUCUUACUUCCAUGAACUCAGGGAAGAGAAAGUUUAAUGGUGAAAAUAAGACUCAGAAAAAAUUAGGUCCUUCACAUAAGGCCGAAUAA